UACGGAGGGGGCUAGCGUUGUUCGGAAUUACUGGGCGUAAAGGGCGCGUAGGCGGCGCGAUAAGUUGGGCGUGAAAGGCCCGGGCUCAACCCGGGGACUGCGCUUGAUACUGUCGCGCUGUGAGUCCGGGAGAGGAUGGCGGAAUUCCCAGUGUAGAGGUGAAAUUCGUAGAUAUUGGGAAGAACACCGGUGGCGAAGGCGGCCAUCUGGACCGGCACUGACGCUGAGGCGCGAAAGCGUGGGGAGCGAACGGG
rnacentral:rRNA from 1 species